rnacentral:misc_RNA from 1 species
ACGAGCAUGAAUCUGAAGAUAAUAAUUGCUACGUUAGAUUAAUAACUCAUUAGAUGAUAUGUAUAUCAAGUAAACAUUAAAAAAAUGACCACACAAAGUAAGACAUGUUAAAUUGUUAUAUAAAUAUUGAAUAUGUCAGAAUUUCUUCAAGAGAAGAAAAGAGGAAAAAGAAUGGAUAUUGUAGCCUAGGUGCAAAUAAGGACAUCUCAAGCAAAGAUAGCUGAAGCUAUUACUUCUGUAAUGAAACCAAAAUCAGGGUUAAAUGCACUGCAACUAUGAGAUAAAUCAAUGAUCAUAAGACGUGUUCUGUUCAUAUGAUAGUGAUAUCUAAUUUGAUCAAGUGUCAGUUUCUAUGGUCAACAAACUGACCAUUGGAUUUUAGUCUCUAAAUCAAUUGCAGGAGACAGUAAACCUACAAGUCAAACAUCAAAAGUCAUUUGGGUUGAGUACAUUAUAAAAAUUUUGGUAAUCCUGACUUAAACAUUAAGAAUUAUUAGCAUAUCAGGUUUCCAAAGUGUAAAUUAAAGUAUCAUUUAUAGCUCAAAUGAUUUUCAAAAGAAAAAUUCCAGUCAGUUCAUGCUAUGUGCUAAAAAAUCUCGAGCAUAUUUUGAGCAUAAAGAUUCCAUAACACAAACCAGUAAACCUGUCAGUAACUUUGAGAGGCCAACUCGUCUUUUCAAGAACACAAUCAUAUUGCAGUGCCUUAAAGUUAUACAAAAGUUUUGGCAGAUCAGAAUGAACAAAAAUUGGUCAGAGUAAACUUAUGAAAUUAUUCAUGAUCAAAACUUGGCUCUGUUCUACCUUCACAUCAGAAGAGAAAUUUG